CUAGGAGACACAGACAUGGAGACACUGGGGGAUCAGAGACACAUAGACUGGGAGACACAGAGACAUGGGGACACUGUGGGCACACAGAAACAUGGGAACACUGGGGCACACAGCGACAUGGGACAUCUUUUCAUUUUUUUUACCCUUUUCCCAUUCAGGAGUACUUUAUACGAACAAUAUCCAUUCAUCUCUUGAACGAGGACCACC